CUAGACUGGGCACAUGUAUAGUGGAUUAAAUAAGAGAAUAUUUCAUCAUGUAAAGAAAAUGUAUUUGUUAUGUAAAUGAGUUAAUUGUGUUAAAAUUACUGCCUGGAUUUCUCAUACUCACCAUAACCUAGAUGUACUCUUUUCAAGGAACACAGAUCUUACAAGACUGUUUGACGGUGAGCCAGAACACUUGACUCCAUCCACUUCUCAGACCUUGCUUGAGAGUGACAUGUUUUUGGUGGCAGGAAGAAUAAUGGGACAUUCAUUCAUUCAUGGUGGACCGUGUGUGUCUGGUAUAAGUCCUGCAAUUUGAAAUGCUUUAUCAGUACAGUGGAUGUUCUUUAAGUAUUUAACAUUUAAAGUGUUUUUUACUUUACGGACUCACACUUCAGUUUUGGUUUGGUCUCACUGUUGUAGGUCAUAACACGAACAAGCCGUCAAGUCAAGCAGCUGAGGAAAGGGCUUCAGGAGACCAUGGUAUGGCCGCUUCUGACAGAAAGAUCAGACAUCAUUCCUCUUUUCUUACCAAGGGACUCAGAGACUGCUCCCUGUUGAGUCUAUUCUAGAAAGGAUAGUGUGGCCUGCCACAGAAGAUGAAGAUGAGGAGGAAGAGGAAUGCUCUCUUGAGGAUAAAUGCAGAGUGGCAGGCUACCUUUGGUCCUUCAUUGAAAAUGCGUCUUGUGCACAACGAAAAGCCCUCAUCAAGUUUUGGACAGGAUGGGAAGUCUUGCCGAGAGAAAUGACUGUGGAAGUGGUCAACAGUAGUCUUCCACCUGUUUUGAAGUACUACGUCUUCCUGCACACUACUGUACCUAUGAGUCAUUUCUAAUGGACAUUCAGGUGUGUCUCAACUCUACUGACUCAGGUUUUGGUCUGGUUUAGGAUUGAUUCCAUAACCACAUGGUAAGAUUAGACCAUUUUUCUUUCUUGCAUCACAUUACUGUACUCGGUGUUCAAAGAAACGGACAAUCUAGUGAGUUCUAGUUCCUUUAAUACACUUGACAGUGUAAAAUACACAGUACAGGUGAGCAUUUAUUGCUUUUUGUCAGUUUAUAUUAAAAAGAGUUCAGAAAACAAAAUUAUAUUAUUAUAUAUUUAUAAUAUAUAUUAUAUUAUAAAUUACACAGUAUGUUUAUUUUAUUCUCGCUACUGGAAAACUUAUUUGCAUUAAGAUGUUAUACUACUUUACCGUGUGCAUUGUAUUAAAUCUGCUCAGUUGACAUGUACUGUACAUCCAAGAAAUGAAUAUCAAAUCAAAUCACUUAUUUUAUUGUCACUUAUUUUUAUUAUUAUUAAAGUGACAGCUGUGUAAAAUAAAUCCUGUUUUAUAGCCACUCACUGUUUUGUUGAAAAUGAAAUCGGUUAUGCUGUUUUGAGUCAGUAUUAGCUACAAAGCCAUAGAUGUAGAAACUUAAAAAAGGGGUGUGAACAUAUUGCACCUGCUUACUUUGAAGACUUAAGGUGUGGUAUCAAACAUAAGUUUGAGUGACUGAACAGUUUCACAGUAGGUAUCCAAAGCUUGACUGAGUGAAACCCUGUUGUUUGGUAGCACAGCAAGCUCUCGUUCACUCAGUGCACGUGGGAGCUGAAUCUCAGGAAUGGUGAUCUCAUUUGAUGGGCGGUGAUUAUGUGGUCCUGUCCAGUCCACACCAUAAUCCUCAUCAACCUGAAAGACCAUGCACAUGUUUUAAAUCUAAACUGAAGAGGUGAUUCCUGCAGCUGUUCCUAGAUGGACUUAUUGAGUCUGUCAGGGCCUAUGUGAGUUUCUUAGGCAUAAUUAUUCAUUCACCCAUUCUAGGUCAGGAUUGGUUCUCUUCAGGUAUAACAAAUUUAACUUUGUUUAAAGUAUUGCCAUCUAUACCUGACAGAUUGAAUAAAAGGAGAGAAUGGCUUGAAAGACAUUUUCACUUACAGGAGAAAUAUUUGGUACACCAACUCGAACAGUAGAAAUAAACUCAUCUCAACUACAGAUAGUAGAGUUUUACAUAGAAGAACAAAUACGGAUCAAAUAGUCAUGUACCUGUGACAAAUCUUGUCCCUCCUUUCUGUGCAGCAACCAGAGUUGCAGAGGUGAAUGGUUGUUUGCUGUUCUGAGUCCGUGCUGAUUCCAUGCUUCCUGGAAUGACUGAAGAUGAUGUUGAAUGUGAUGCAAAAAGCAUCUGUGCAGUGCAAACAAGUCAAUUUCUUCACCAGGGUUGAGCAGUCCUUGAAUCUCCAGCUGGGUGAAGAUUGUGUAGAAAAGGUCAAGGACGUUUUCAUAUACAUCCCUCCACAGGCGCUCAAUGCUAUAAGACACAGUGAGGGAAGUUGUUCAUUUAUGGUUUUUCAGGCAUUCCUACGUCAACAGCCUUCCAAGUCAAUUAUUAGUGUAGUGUUAAUGUGCUGUGAAACCAGUCAAUUAUGUUCAGAAACCAUUUGUUUUAUUACAGUUGCAUGUGUGAAAACAAUGUAAGACAGGCCAUCAAUUUACUUGUCCUUACUGCUGGUGUGAGAGUUCCUGUUCUCCCCCAUUGUCUGCACCAUGAAAUGUGCAACCUUCACAUUUUCCCCUCCUUUGUCUGACCUGGAAAAAAAGUAGAGAAGUUUUGAUCCGAGUCAGUGAGAGUAACAAUCUGAAUAUAACUACUGUCCAAUACAGAGUUUUUUGGCAUACUGUAUUUGUUAAACACCUCUUACCGGACGGUAUGCCAUAUUGUCUGAUUGCUGACAAGAAACCAUCAAAAACUGUUGUAACUUUGUUGUUGGUGGCAGCUUUAAGGUAGACAAUUAACCUCGAAAAACCAUCUAUCCCACCAUGGACAACAAAUCUCCAUCUGACAAGGCAGAAUUAAAAAAAACAAAACAAGAAAAAACAUUGUCAUGUCCCCAGUUACAUACAAGCAAGACCAAUAUUUCAGUUCCAUAUAAAGUGACAACAUGUUAUAACAGGAAUGUAAAAGAAAUAAUAGAAGGGAAACUUAAACACUUUACAGAAAGAUCUGUAGUGCAAGGAAUCACAUGCAUAAUGUAAAGCCUCAGACAUGACUAUAGCAAAUCCUGUAAAUGGCCUUAUAUGACAGCAUUUAAGAUGACAUUUACAAAUUCAAGGCUUCAUUUUACAAUUUUAUACAUGCAUCCUGUUACUUCAAUGGAAUUGGGAAAAGGUGAUGCAAGCACUGACCAAAUUAGUUUAUGAUUUCCAUCGAUAUGCCAAAGGUGAUUUAGUGCUGGUACACUGUACUGACGAUGCCUUGCAGUCUAAAUAGAUAACCGUGGCAUCAUGACCCCUUCUGGAUUGACUCGUCUCAUUGAAUCCAUCAGUCGAAAUCCUGAUUAACAAACAGAUCAUGUCUUAGUACUAACAACUACAAAAAGACUGUAUUGUAAACACUGUAAUGCUUAUGAGACAGAUCUUCAUUGCUUCAGGUAAGUAUCCAGGUGCUGUACAGAUUUACUGAGGAGAGAGAAUCGUGUACAAACUGGUUCAAACAAGAACAUAACUGCAUAACAGUGAUACGAACAUGCCUAGUCAUUUUUGAUGCGUACAUUAUAAUAUCACAUCAUGGCUACACUGACACAUGCUUUCUGGGUGUUUGGAUAUUCAAACAAUAUCAGCUUACUUUGAAUGUGUAUGCCUCUGGAUCGUAGAUGUCCCAUCAUCAUUCUGCAGCCGGCAUUUGGGUGAUGACGCUGAAUGUCCAGCACUUUUGCAUCCAAGUCCUCAUUCCCAAUAGAAGAAUACCUAUCAGAUUUUCUGCACAUAAUUUUUUUUUUUUAGUAUAACAGCAAGUCUCAACAAAACAAUGUAUUCUUGUUUUAGCUUUACUGAAGACACCAGAGAAAGUAUGAUAUUUAAAAUGCUGCUGUAAUAGACAAAACCAUUUCAAUAAACUUGCUAUUUAACAUCAACUUUGUUAUGUGUUAUCAGAGAACAAUUAGCUGCAAACAGCAAUGAAACAUUCAACUAUGUACUAUUUAAAGCACUAAUGACCCUGCUGUCUACCAAGAUGUGAUAAGUAAGUAGACUGUGGAAAGCUGGUGGGUCUACUCUGUGUAAAAGGUUCCUACAGGUUCCACUGCCCCCAGUCUCCGAGUUAACACACUCUAACAGCUAACACUGCGCCGGCUAAACGUGUCUCAACAACGAGAUGGCGCCGAUAGCUUUAGCCGUAGCUGCCCCACUUAUUUUAGACAUUCACAAUAAAAAAGUAAGCGAUAAUAUUUCAAUAUCAAACGUCAUAAUUAAGGUCAAUAUCUAAAUAAUGCUGUGUACAGACUCACACAGGUGUUAAAUUACAGCAUAAACUUACUUCAGACAUUCCUUUCGACAAUGCUGUCAUCGAUGCUAACAUCUUGAAGAGCAAUUAUAAUCCCAAGCAUUUCAGAAACAUCAUCUAAACGACUCAAAACAGUAUCUACAGGUAAAUGAUCCCUCUCUAUCUGAUCUCCUAAAAUGAGCAGAAUUGACUGAAGUUCACACCAGACCGCCAUCUAUGGGCUCAAAAUGU